rnacentral:rRNA from 1 species
UACAGAGGUCUCAAGCGUUUGUUCGGAUUCAUUGGGCGUAAAGGGUGCGUAGGUGGCGGGGUUAGUCAGGUGUGAAAUCUCGGGGCUCAACCCCGAAACUGCACUUGAUACUGCCUUGCUAGAGUACUGGAGAGGAGAUUGGAAUUUACGGUGUAGCAGUGAAAUGCGUAGAUAUCGUAAGGAAGACCAGUGGCGAAGGCGAAUCUCUGGACAGUUACUGACACUGAGGCACGAAGGCCAGGGGAGCAAACGGG